rnacentral:rRNA from 1 species
UACAGAGGUCCCAAGCGUUGUUCGGAUUCACUGGGCGUAAAGGGUGCGUAGGUGGUAAGGCAAGUCAGGUGUGAAAUCUCCGGGCUCAACCCGGAAAUGGCAUUCGAAACUACCUUGCUAGAGGGUUUGAGGGGGGACUGGAAUACUUGGUGUAGCAGUGAAAUGCGUAGAUAUCAAGUGGAACACCAGUGGCGAAGGCGAGUCCCUGGAAAACUCCUGACACUGAGGCACGAAAGCCAAGGGAGCAAACAGG